CGCCGCGGUAAUACCCGCGGCCCAAGUGGUGGUCGAUAUUAUUGAGUCUAAAACGUCCGUAGCCGGUUCAGUAAAUCUUUGGGUAAAUCGGCCAGCUUAACUGACCGAAUUCCGAAGAGACUGCUGAACUUGGGACCGGGAGAGGCCAGAGGUACUUCUGGGGUAGGGGUAAAAUCCUGUAAUCCUAGAAGGACCACCGGUGGCGAAGGCGUCUGGCUAGAACGGAUCCGACGGUGAGGGACGAAGCCCUGGGGCGCAAACGGGAUUAGAUACCCCGGUAGUCCAGGGUGUAAACGCUGCAGGCUUGGUGUUGGGGGUCCUUCGGGGGCGCCCAGUGCCGGAGAGAAGUUGUUAAGCCUGCUACUUGGGGAGUACGUCCGCAAGGAUGAAACUUAAAGGAAUUGGCGGGGGAGCACCGCAACGGGAGGAGCGUGCGGUUUAAUUGGAUUCAACACCGGAAAACUCACCAGGAGCGACGGUUACAUGAAAGUCAGGCUGAUGACCUUACUAGAUUUUCCGAGAGGAGGUGCAUGGCC
rnacentral:rRNA from 1 species